rnacentral:rRNA from 1 species
UACGGGGGGAGCAAGCGUCGUUCGGAUUUACUGGGCGUAAAGGGCGCGUAGGCGGCGCAACAAGUCAGUUGUGAAAUCUCUGGGCUUAACCCAGAGCGGUCAACUGAUACUGUCGUGCUAGAGUGCGGAAGGGGCAACUGGAAUUCUCGGUGUAGCGGUGAAAUGCGUAGAUAUCGAGAGGAACACCUGCGGCGAAGGCGGGUUGCUGGGCCGACACUGACGCUGAGGCGCGAAAGCUAGGGGAGCGAACGGG